rnacentral:rRNA from 1 species
UAGGGAAUUUUGCGCAAUGGACGAAAGUCUGACGCAGCAACGCCGCGUGCAGGAGGAAGGCCUUCGGGUCGUAAACUGCUUUUAUCUGUGACGAUUAUGACGGUAGCAGAAGAAUAAGGAUCGGCUAAUUCCGUGCCAGCAGCCGCGGUCAUACGGAAGAUCCAAGCGUUAUCCGGAAUUACUGGGCGUAAAGAGUUGCGUAGGUGGCAUGGUAAGCAAGCAGUGAAAGGUCCCGGCUCAACCGGGGAUACAUUGUUUGAACUGCCAAGCUAGAGCAUGGUAGAGGUAACUGGAAUUCCUAGUGUAGGAGUGAAAUCCGUAGAUAUUAGGAGGAACACCGAUGGCGUAGGCAGGUUACUGGGCCAUUGCUGACACUAAGGCACGAAAGCGUGGGGAGCGAACGGGAUUAGAUACCCCCGUAGUCC